GCGGACGGGUGAGUAAUGCCUAGAAUCUGCCUGGUAGUGGGGAUAACGUUCGGAAACGGACGCUAAUACCGCAUACGUCCUACGGGAGAAAGCAGGGGACCUUCGGGCCCUUGCGCUAUCAGAUGAGCCUAGGUCGGAUUAGCUAGUUGGUGGGGUAAUGGCUCACCAAGGCGACGAUCCGUAACUGGUCUGAGAGGAUGAUCAGUCGCACUGGAACUGAGACACGGUCCAGACUCCUACGGGAGGCAGCAGUGGGGAAUAUUGGACAAUGGGCGAAAGCCUGAUCCAGCCAUGCCGCGUGUGUGAAGAAGGUCUUCGGAUUGUAAAGCACUUUAAGUUGGGAGGAAGGGUUGUAGAUUAAUACUCUGCAAUUUUGACGUUACCGACAGAAUAAGCACCGGCUAACUCUGUGCCAGCAGCCGCGGUAAUACAGAGGGUGCAAGCGUUAAUCGGAAUUACUGGGCGUAAAGCGCGCGUAGGUGGUUAGUUAAGUUGGAUGUGAAAUCUCCGGGCUCAACCUGGGAACUGCAUUCAAAACUGACUGACUAGAGUAUGGUAGAGGGUGGUGGAAUUUCCUGUGUAGCGGUGAAAUGCGUAGAUAUAGGAAGGAACACCAGUGGCGAAGGCGACCACCUGGACUGAUACUGACACUGAGGUGCGAAAGCGUGGGGAGCAAAC
rnacentral:rRNA from 1 species